rnacentral:lncRNA from 1 species
ACUCUCUCUCAUAUAUUUGUCUCUCUUUCACCACCUUCCAUCAUCACCCUCUCAAUUCUUCUCUCCACGCCUUACCUUCUAUGAUCUCUCUCUCUCACACAAAACACACUUUCCUACUAUAAUAAUACUAACCCAAUAGAGUCCUUUUGUUUCUGAAUUUUAGCACCAAAUGGGUCUCGAAAAGUUAGAUGAUUUUGGACCAAUUAUGCCUAUAAAAACCGUUGCUACUGCUACAAAAACCUUCAGCCACCGCACGGAACUAUUGGAUCUAGAGACAAAAAAUGAGGUAAAGGAGGAAGAACAAGAAGAGUGUCACACACCAACAUCACCAUCUCAAAUAUUGAAGACCCCAUUGGUUUGUCCACCACCUCCAAAGAAACCACGUGUAGCUAGAAGAAGUGAUGAUGGAAUUGCACCUUCUCAAGGGUUCAUUCAAGUGUCUCACGAUUUGGCUUCUGUCUUUUUUCUGCAACACAAACCCAACAUCAGAGAAACCUCUUUGCUUACCACAUCGUUUUCUUGAGCAGUGGUAUAUAUCAAACAUAUAUAUUUUAACUUAUUAAUUAUGCACCACAUUAUAGUUGUUUUUAUCUUCCUCUCUUUGUUAGUAGCAUCUUUACUAUGUUGUUUUGUUUUGAAUAUUUCAUGUGUAGAACUAGAAACUAAUCAAGUAGUUGUAAAUGGUGCAUGACGAAUCCAUUAUUUGUUUAAUUUAAACGCUUGUAUCUAUAGUUACAAAAUGUAGUAUUAAGCGGG